rnacentral:rRNA from 1 species
UACGUAGGGGGCAAGCGUUAUCCGGAUUUACUGGGUGUAAAGGGAGCGUAGACGGCGGUGCAAGCCAGAUGUGAAAGCCCGGGGCUCAACCCCGGGACUGCAUUUGGAACUGUGCUGCUAGAGUGUCGGAGAGGCAGGCGGAAUUCCUAGUGUAGCGGUGAAAUGCGUAGAUAUUAGGAGGAACACCAGUGGCGAAGGCGGCCUGCUGGACAGAAACUGACGUUGAGGCUCGAAAGCGUGGGGAGCAAACAGG